rnacentral:rRNA from 1 species
AAGCACCGGCUAACUCUGUGCCAGCAGCCGCGGUAAUACAGAGGGUGCAAGCGUUAAUCGGAAUUACUGGGCGUAAAGGGAGCGUAGGUGGCUCUAUAAGUCAGAUGUGAAAUCCCCGGGCUUAACCUGGGAACUGCAUCUGAAACUGUAGAGCUAGAGUAUGUGAGAGGAAGGUAGAAUUCCAGGUGUAGCGGUGAAAUGCGUAGAGAUCUGGAGGAAUACCGAUGGCGAAGGCAGCCUUCUGGCAUAAUACUGACACUGAGGCUCGAAAGCGUGGGUAGCAAACAGGAUUAGAUACCCUGGUAGUCCACGCCGUAAACGAUGUCUACUAGUCGUUGGGUCCCUUGAGGACUUAGUGACGCAGCUAACGCAAUAAGUAGACCGCCUGGGGAGUACGGCCGCAAGGUUAAAACUCAAAUGAAUUGACGGGGGCCCGCACAAGCGGUGGAGCAUGUGGUUUAAUUCGAUGCAACGCGAAGAACCUUACCUGGUCUUGACAUAUCUAGAAUCCUGCAGAGAUGCGGGAGUGCCUUCGGGAAUUAGAAUACAGGUGCUGCAUGGCUGUCGUCAGCUCGUGUCGUGAGAUGUUGGGUUAAGUCCCGCAACGAGCGCAACCCUUGUCCUUAGUUACCAGCGGGUUAAGCCGGGAACUCUAAGGAUACUGCCAGUGACAAACUGGAGGAAGGCGGGGACGACGUCAAGUCAUCAUGGCCCUUACGACCAGGGCUACACACGUGCUACAAUGGUAGGUACAGAGGGCAGCUACACAGCGAUGUGAUGCGAAUCUCAAAAAGCCUAUCGUAGUCCAGAUUGGAGUCUGCAACUCGACUCCAUGAAGUAGGAAUCGCUAGUAAUCGCGGAUCAGAAUGCCGCGGUGAAUACGUUCCCGGGCCUUGUACACACCGCCCGUCACACCAUGGGAGUUGAUUGCACCAGAAGUGGAUAGCUUAACCUUCGGGGGAGCGUUCACCACGGUGUGGUUGAUGACUGGGGUGAAGUCGUAACAAGGUAGCCGUAGGGGAACCUGCGGCUG